rnacentral:misc_RNA from 1 species
GAAAUGCGAUAAGUAAUGUGAAUUGCAGAAUUCAGUGAAUCAUCGAAUCUUUGAACGCACAUUGCGCCCGCCAGUAUUCUGGCGGGCAUGCCUGUCCGAGCGUCAUUUCAACCAUCAAGCCCCCGUGCUUGUGUUGGGGACCUGCGGCUGCCCGCAGGCCCUGAAAACCAGUGGCGGGCUCGCUGUCACACCGAGCGUAGUAGCAAUCACCUCGCUCAGGGCGUGCUGCGGGUUCCGGCCGUUAAACAGCCUUACAAAACCCAAGGUUGACCUCGGAUCAGGUAGGAAGACCCGCUGAACUUAAGC